rnacentral:rRNA from 1 species
CAGUAGCCGCGGUAAAACGUAGGGUGCGAGCGUUAAUCGGAAUUACUGGGCGUAAAGCGGGCGCAGACGGUUACUUAAGCAGGAUGUGAAAUCCCCGGGCUCAACCUGGGAACUGCGUUCUGAACUGGGUGACUAGAGUGUGUCAGAGGGAGGUAGAAUUCCACGUGUAGCAGUGAAAUGCGUAGAGAUGUGGAGGAAUACCGAUGGCGAAGGCAGCCUCCUGGGAUAACACUGACGUUCAUGCCCGAAAGCGUGGGUAGCAAACAGGAUUAGAUACCCCAGUAGUCCCUGUCUCUUAUAC